rnacentral:tmRNA from 1 species
GGGGCUGUUUUGGGAUUCGACAGGCGUAGAUUUGCAUUGACUGCGGUUCGUAGGUCACGUCUACGUAAAAACGUCACAGUUUAAAUAUAACUGCAAAAAAUAAUAAUUCUUACGCAGUAGCUGCUUAGUCAGCCUGUGUGAUCUAAUGAUGGUUUGCUUGUGAUGAUCAUUAGGUUUUACCAUUUAGCAAGCUACGUUUAACUACCUCACCUGAAUAGUUAAAAAUAAGAUUGACUAGGUUAGCCAUAACUUUUUUGCCCUGUUAUAUGGCGUGAAGUUACGGUGAACUCAAGUAAUAUAACUAUAAUCGUAGAGGUUAAUGACAAAAUGCGUUUGGACAGGGGUUCAAUUCCCCUCAGCUCCAC